UACGUAGGGUGCAAGCGUUGUCCGGAAUUAUUGGGCGUAAAGAGCUCGUAGGCGGUUUGUCGCGUCGAAUGUGAAAUCCCGGGGCUCAACCCGGGUCUGCAUUCGAUACGGGCAGACUAGAGUUCGGUAGGGGAGUCUGGAAUUCCUGGUGUAGCGGUGAAAUGCGCAGAUAGUCAGGAGGAACACCGGUGGCGAAGGCGGGACUCUGGGCCGAUACUGACGCUGAGGAGCGAAAGCGUGGGGGAGCAAACAGG
rnacentral:rRNA from 1 species